GCCUUUGUGGUGUAACGGUAACACAUACGGCGCGUAUUCGAGAGAGCCAGGUACGAGUCCCGGCGAGGGCA
rnacentral:tRNA from 1 species